rnacentral:lncRNA from 1 species
AAUUGAGACAGGAUUGCCUGUUUGUUUUAUUUUUACGUUUUUGGAGCGACUGUGUCCUGAAGGAGAGUCCAUUUUCAAUAAGGUAAGUACUUUUGUAUUUCUUUAAAACAUCGAUUGCACAUUAGUGUUUAUAAUUUACUUUGUUAUGAUUUAAAACAAGUGAUUCUUGUGUAUGUUUAAAAAUAGUUUUACAAUUUUGAAUACCGUCAAGUCUGUCUAAAAAUAGACCUAGAAAAACC